GCUUCGGUGGUUAAACUGACUAAGACGCCCGCAUGGAAUGCAGGGAAUCCAGGUUUAAAUCCUGGCCAAGAUA
rnacentral:tRNA from 1 species